GGGCGGAUAGCUCAGCGGUGGAGCAUCUCGUUUACACCGAGGAGGUCACAGGUUCAAAUCCUGUUCCGCCCACCA
rnacentral:tRNA from 1 species